rnacentral:rRNA from 1 species
AAUAAUAAAAGAAAUUUUAAAAUUAAAAUAUUUAAUGGGGGUUAAAGUAUUUUAAAAGAAAAAAUUUUAAAUUUUAUAGGGGAUUAGUAUUGUGAAAGAAUUUUGAAAUAAUUUAAAUAAAAAUUUUUUAUAAAGUAAUUUUUGUUUAAUGUAUCUUGUGUAUCAGAGUUUAUCUAAAAAAAAUUUAUGUUAAAAUUUUCUCGAAUUUAAAAGAGUUAAUUAAUUAUAAAAGUUAUUGUUGCAUAAAUAUUUUAAAUAAUUAAUUUGAAAUGAGAUGUUAAUCGUUUUUAAAUAUAUCUAGUUUUUUUAAAAAAAAAUUAAAUUUUAAAUUUUAAUAAAAAUUAUUUUAAUUUUUAUUAAAAUCUUUUUAAUUAAAAUUUAAUAAUUUAAGGGAUAAGCUUUAAAUUAAAAUUAUUAUAAUAAUAAUUUAAGGGAAAAUUAAAAUUUUUAUAAUUUAAAUUGUUAAAAAAUUUUAAUUUUUUAUAAAUAAUUUUAUUUGUAGUAAAAUUUAAUAAAAAAUUUAAUUUUUUAUAAAAAAAUGAAUUAUAAAGAAUUUAAAUUUAAAUAUAAUGAUAAAAUUAGUAUAUAAAUAUUUAUAAUGAAAUUAUAAUUAAAAAUUUAAAAAAAUUAAUUAAAAGGAAUUCGGCAAAAAUUUAUAUUCACUUGUUUAUCAAAAACAUGUCUUUUUGUUAAUAAUUUAAAGUCUAAUCUGCCCACUGAUGAAAAUUAAAGGGCUGCAGUAUUUUGACUGUACAAAGGUAGCAUAAUCAUUAGUCUCUUAAUUGGUGACUUGUAUGAAAGAUUGGAUGAGAUAUAAACUGUCUCUUUAUUAUUUGUAGAAUUUAAUUUUUUAUUUAAAAAGUUAAAAUAAAUUUAAAAGACGAGAAGACCCUAUAGAGUUUUAUAAAUUUUAUAAAAAAUAAUUAUUAUAUAAAUGGUUAAAAAAAUUUGUAAAAUUUAUUUUGUUGGGGUGAUAGAAAAAUUAAAUAAACUUUUUUUAUAAAAAGACAUAAAUAAAUGAAAAAAAGAUCCAAAAAUUUUGAUUGAAAGAAAAAAUUACCUUAGGGAUAACAGCGUAAUUUUUUCUUUUAGUUCAAAUAAAAGAAAAAGUUUGCGACCUCGAUGUUGGAUUAAGAUAAAAUUUAAAUGCAAAAGUUUAAAAUUUUGAUCUGUUCGAUCAUUAAAAUCUUACAUGAUCUGAGUUCAAACCGGUGUGAGCCAGGUUGGUUUCUAUCUUUAGAAAAAUAAAAUAUUUUAGUACGAAAGGAUCAAAUAUUUAAAAUAAAUUUUAAAUUAAUGAAUAUUAAUAAAAUAAAAAUAGACUUAAAA